rnacentral:rRNA from 1 species
GGGGCGCAGCAGGCGCGAAAACUCCACACUGUACGACAGUACGAUGGGGUUAUCUCGAGUGCAGUCCGAUAAGGGCUGCUUUUCCAUAGAGUAAUAUCCUGUGGGAAUAAGAGGGGGGCAAGACUGGUGUCAGCCGCCGCGGUAACACCAGCCCCUCGAGUGGUGGGGACUACUAUUUGGUCUAAAGCGUCCGUAGCUGGCUGUAUCCGUCCCCCGUUAAAUCCAGCGUCCUAAACGUUGGACUGCGGGUGAUACCAUACAGCUAGAGGGUGGGAUAGGUGAGCGGUAUUUCUGGGGUAGGGGCGAAAUCCUUUGAUCCCAGGAGGACCACCAGUGGCGAAGGCUGCUCACUAGAACACGCCUGACGGUCAGGGACGAAAGCUGGGGCAGCGAACCGGAUUAGAUACCCGGGUAGUCCCAGCUGUAAACGAUGCUAGCUAGGUGUUGGGUCGGCCACGCGCCGCCCCAGUGCCGCAGGGAAGCCGUUAAGCUAGCCACCUGGGGAGUACGGCCGCAAGGCUGAAACUUAAAGGAAUUGG